rnacentral:rRNA from 1 species
GGAAUAUUGGACAAUGGGCGAAAGCCUGAUCCAGCCAUGCCGCGUGUGUGAAGAAGGUCUUCGGAUUGUAAAGCACUUUAAGUUGGGAGGAAGGGUAUUAACCUAAUACGUUAGUACUUUGACGUUACCGACAGAAUAAGCACCGGCUAACUCUGUGCCAGCAGCCGCGGUAAUACAGAGGGUGCAAGCGUUAAUCGGAAUUACUGGGCGUAAAGCGCGCGUAGGUGGUUUGUUAAGUUGAAUGUGAAAUCCCCGGGCUCAACCUGGGAACUGCAUCCAAAACUGGCAAGCUAGAGUAUGGUAGAGGGUAGUGGAAUUUCCUGUGUAGCGGUGAAAUGCGUAGAUAUAGGAAGGAACACCAGUGGCGAAGGCGACUACCUGGACUGAUACUGACACUGAGGUGCGAAAGCGUGGGGAGCAAACAGGAUUAGAUACCCCGG